AAAAGAGAAACAGACUCAUAGACACAGAGAACAAAUGUGGUUGGCAGAGGGGAGAGGGUGACAGAUGGGUGAGACAGGUGAAGGGGGUCAAGAGGUACGGACUUCCAGCCAUAAAAUUAGUAAGUCACAGGGAUGUCAUGUACAGCAUAGAUGACAGAGUCAAUAAUAUUGCAAUAACUUUGUAUGGCGACAGAUGGUUACCCAAGUCAUCAUGGUGAUCGUUUUGUAAUAUAUAUAAAUGUUGAAUCACUAUGUUAUACACCUGAAACUAACAUAAUAUUAUAUGUCAACUAUACUUCAAUUAAGAAAUAUAUAUAUCUCCAUGAGUCUGCAAUGAAAUAAGCAAAUAAGUACAUAAAUAGAUGGAGGAGAAUGGACAGUUCCAUUGCUGAAGGUUAAAUUAGUGUAGGAAAGUGUGAGGUGAACACAAUAUUUGCAUAGUUCAAAGUAUCUUUCCCAAGAUAUUUUUAAUUACAAAUGGAAAAGCAGUAACUUUACAGUGGAGAAGCCCAGAAGACACCAGCAUAACCAAGUGAGUCAAGCUUCCCAUCCCCAGUGGGGUAGGCAGAACUCAAAGAUGCAGCUUGCUCCCCCUUCCUCCCCACCUUUGCUAGACAUGCUUUGCACAAUCAUGCAGGCUGUGAAGAUGAUGGAUUUUAGUCCUGUGAUUAGGUCAUAUUAUGUGACACAGUUGGCUUUAAGAAAGGGAGAUUAUCGGUUUGCGCCUGACCUAAUCAUAUGAGCCUUUUAACUCUGGGUCUAGAAGUCAGAGAUUCAAAGGGGGAGAGGGAUUGCACAGGAGGGAAAUUCUCCUGCUGCCCUUGUAGAUGAAUUUGAGAGUGGCCUCUAGGAACAGAGGGUGAUUCCCAGCUGCCAGCCAGCAGGAAAACAGUUCCGUCCUAACUGAGAACCUGAUUUCCCCCAACAACCUGAAUGAGCUGGGAAGAGGACCCCAAGCUCCAGAUGAGGAUGCGGCCCAGCCCACACCUUUGCGGGGUGGCCCUGUGAGACCCUGGGCAGAGAGUGUACCCGUCCUGUGCCUGGACUUCUGACCUCCAGAAACUGUGAGAUAAUAAGUGGGUGUUGUUUUACGGCGCUGGGUCUGUGGCGAUUGGUUACAGCAGCGGGAGGAAACUACACAGCUAGUCAUAACACGUGGACAUCAGGUCCUCCCCGAUAGGGGCCCUGAAAAGGACACAUCACAUCUGAGAUUUUCAUGCCAAAAACACAUUACCUCAUCUAAUCAUGAGAAAACACCAGACAAACCAAAACUGAGAGACAUUCUACAAAAUAACUGACCAGUCCUCUUCAAAAGGGAGGAGGUCAUGAAAGACAAGGAAAGACUGAGUGGGGCAGAAAAAUGACAUUAGUGGUAACUGACGAAACCUGAAUAAAGUCUGUAGUUUAGUUAACAACAAAAAUCACAACAAAACACACCAAGUUAUUUCUCUCUAGAGUUGGGCCAAUCUAUGGAAUCUUAAGCAAUUCAUUUGCUAGAACUUGUUUUUCCAAUUGUUAUGUAACACGAAAAGUGUUCAUAAUGUGCUUUAAGAUUCUUAGCUCAAAGAGUAAUGGCUAUGUUGCUUCCUGCUUGUCUGUUAAUAAUUCGAAUUCUAUUUCCCUUUAAGAUAGCUUAAUUUUGGAAGAGUUGGUGUGUUUUUGAAGACUUCUACAUUGUAAUGAUUUUGAUGCAGUAGUGUAGAUUAAUGCAAGCAAACACUAUUAAUGAGUGCAAUCCAAAAAUGAAAAUUUGUACAACUUAGUAGAUCGUAGAGGCUUUUUGUGUUUGUUGUUUGGCUGUUUGCUUUUUACUUUUAUUUCAAAUUAAGGAGUCACCAUGUAAAACUAUAAAUACACAAAAUCCUUUCAACAGCUUAAAAGGAUGAACAUUUCAGAAGUUUUCCGAAUUCAAGUCAAGAUAAAGAGAAGUAAGCAAAAAACUCAGUAACACAGUAUUUGAACAGUAUGAUUCAGACAAGAUAGAGACCCCCUUCCAACAGAAAAAAAGGACAAAUGGCCCGCCUGGAGCGUUUAUGUGAGCUUCCUAAGAACGGAUCCGGAGUCUCUUUCCCUAUGAUUUUUUCUUGGCUUCAUUUCAGAGAGAUGGACACACACUGCAGGGACUGACAGAGAACUGUCACAUCGUCAGUGAUUACUGCACAAAGGACUCUGACUUUGCUGCUCACACGCUUCAGGCACUUUCUGUGAAUUCAAUGAAGAGACAAGAAAUAGAAAUUGACAGUUAUGGAGCUGCUGCCGCGAGGUGAGGGAGGUGCCAUCGUCCCCAUCGUUCCAGACUGCAGGUGGAGGAGCCUCCCCAGGGCCACGCUUCGAGGAAGGGGUGGAGCCGUCUCUCAGCCAGGCGGCCGGGACAGAAGACUGA